CCGUGACCCUUAAACAAAACAGACCGCGAACGAGUCACCCAUGCCGCCAGGCUCCGGCCCGGCACGCUGCCCCCCGAACCUCCCGCGGGGAAGGGGGGGCCGCGAAAAAGAACCCACGGCGCCCCGGGCGCCAAGGAACACCAGUACUACCUCCUGCCCCGCGGAGCGGUCGGCCCGCCUUCCGCUCCCAGGGCAGCGGUUACACCUUAAUCGACACGACUCUCGGCAACGGAUAUCUCGGCUCUCGCAUCGAUGAAGAACGUAGCAAAAUGCGAUACCUGGUGUGAAUUGCAGAAUCCCGCGAACCAUCGAGUUUUUGAACGCAAGUUGCGCCCGAAGCCUUCUGGCGGAGGGCACGUCUGCCUGGGCGUCACGCCACAAGACACUCCCAACACCCCCCCGCGGGGUGAGGGACGUGGCGUCUGGCCCCCCGCGCCGCACGGCGAGGUGGGCCGAAGCAGGGGCUGCCGGCGAACCGCGCCGGGCGCAGCACGUGGUGGGCGACAUCAAGUUGUUGUUCUCGGUGCAGCGUCCCGGCGCGCGGCCGGCCAUUCGGCCCUAAGGACCCAUCGAGCGACCGAGCUUGCCCUCGGACC
rnacentral:rRNA from 1 species